GCUGGGCGAGAUGGCGCAUGCCUGUAGUCCCAGCUACUCGGGAGGCUGAGGUGGGAGGAUCGCUUGAGCCCAGGAGUUCUGGGCUGUAGUGCGCUAUGCUGAUCGGGUGUCCGCACUAAGUUCGGCAUCAAUAUGGUGACCUCCCUGGAAGCGGGGUGCCACCAGGUUGCCUAAGGAGGGGUGAACCUGCCCAUGUCGGAAACGGAGCAGGUCAAAACUCCCGUGCUGAUCAGUAGUGGGAUCGCACCUGUGAAUAGCCACUGCACUCCAGCCUGGGCAACAUAUCGAGACCCUGUCUCU
rnacentral:SRP_RNA from 1 species